UGACAGAAUUGCUGGGUGCUAUGACAGGUU
rnacentral:piRNA from 1 species